rnacentral:rRNA from 1 species
AUGGCCGCGCGGUCUCGGGCGCGCCGCCUCCUGCCGCUGCUCACCUUCGUCGCCCUCGGCAUGGUCCUGGGUUCCCUGCUUCAGCUAGCAUUUUUCCGCCGGCUUGAUGAUCACUCCCAUACGGGGCAUUUUGAUAAUGAUCAAGAGGCAGCAGAUCUUCGACUUGGAUACGUGAAGCCUGAAGUUAUCAGCUGGAAACCCCGAAUAAUUGUUUUCCACAACUUUCUUAGUUCAGAGGAGUGUGAUUAUCUAAGAGAAAUUGCUAGACCAAGGCUCGAGAUUUCUACUGUAGUUGAUGUCGCAACUGGAAAAGGUGUAAAGAGUGAUGUUCGCACAAGUUCUGGUAUGUUUGUGAACUCUGAAGAACGAAAAUUUCCAGUCAUUAAGGCAAUAGAGAAGCGGAUUUCUGUAUUCUCACAGAUACCUGUAGAAAAUGGGGAACUCAUCCAAGUAUUGCGUUUAAACUACAGGUAUGAACCAAGCCAAUAUUAUAGGCCGCAUCAUGAUUACUUCUCUGAUACUUUCAACCUCAAACGUGGGGGGCAGCGUGUUGCUACAAUGUUGAUGUAUUUGACCGAUGGAGUUGAAGGUGGCGAAACCCAUUUUCCUCAGGCAGGAGAUGGUGGUGAAUGCAGUUGUGGAGGAAGGAUGGUCAGAGGACUAUGUGUGAAGCCAAACAAAGGAGAUGCUGUGCUCUUUUGGAGCAUGGGAUUCGACGGUAACACAGACUCGAACAGCCUUCACAGCGGAUGCGCUGUUGUAAAAGGAGAAAAGUGGUCAGCCACGAAAUGGAUGAGGCAAAAGAUGACUUUCUGA